rnacentral:rRNA from 1 species
UACGUAGGGGGCAAGCGUUGUCCGGAAUCAUUGGGCGUAAAGAGCGUGUAGGCGGCCCGGUAAGUCCGCUGUGAAAGUCCAGGGCUCAACCCUGGGAUGCCGGUGGAUACUGUCGGGCUCGAGUCCGGAAGAGGAGUGUGGAAUUCCUGGUGUAGCGGUGGAAUGCGCAGAUAUCAGGAGGAACACCGAUAGCGAAGGCAGCUCGCUGGGACGGUACUGACGCUGAGGCGCGAAAGCGUGGGGAGCGAACAGG